rnacentral:lncRNA from 1 species
GUUUGACUCUGACAAGCUAGGUAGGAGCUUGGAAAUGAACGGGUCAAAUGGAUAGAAUUCAAGUAUGAAGCUCGCAAGGAUGCAAGGUACACCUUGGAUGCCGGAAGACGAUCAAGCUCAACGAAGGACCGAACACGAUAUAGAUACACGCUUCCGCACAUUGCCACGUUGUAAAUUUUAACAACGAACUCAAUUACGUUUGUUGGAUAACUUAUGAUUUGUAAAAGAUUUAAUAAAUCCGCAUUUUGUACAGUAUGUGUGGUCUUAACUACACAUCUAAUUGUGGUAUUUUCAUGUAAAAUU